UAUAAUAGUACAGCAUCAACAUAAUACAUCACUACAUCCCAUAACAUUGCAUAAUAACCAACAAUAAUCAUGAAAAGACAGGGGGCCGAAUGCGUAACAGAGGCGGAACACAAGCAAAAGCAUUUGGUUUAAUCCAAAUAGUGUGUGUUAGACCAUCACACGUUGACUUCAAACAUCUCUCCUUCCUUGCUCACGUAGCAGGUGGGGUGAAAUAAAAGCAG